rnacentral:rRNA from 1 species
UACGUAGGGUGCAAGCGUUAAUCGGAAUUACUGGGCGUAAAGCGUGCGCAGGCGGUGAUGUAAGACAGAUGUGAAAUCCCCGGGCUCAACCUGGGAACUGCAUUUGUGACUGCAUCGCUGGAGUACGGCAGAGGGGGAUGGAAUUCCGCGUGUAGCAGUGAAAUGCGUAGAGAUGCGGAGGAACACCGAUGGCGAAGGCAGCCCCCUGGGCUGACACUGACGCUCAGGCACGAAAGCGUGGGGAGCAAACAGG